CCUGGGAGGCAGCAGGGAGGAAGAUGGGUCAAGGGGAGAGAGCCUGAACCAGCCAAGGAGCGGGAGGGAAGAAGGGACUAUGGAGGGUAAACCGCUUUUGCCGGGGAGCAAAAAGCGGUACGUGUACCGCAUCGAGAGUAUCCGGAGAAAAAGCAGCGGCUAACCCCGUGCCAGCAGCCGCGGUAAUAUGGAGGAUGAGAGCGUUAUCCUGAUUUAUUGGGUUUAAUGGGGGCGCAGGCGGCGGGUUAAGUCAGCGGUAAAAUUUCGGGGCUCAACCCCGACAAGCCGUUGAAACUGGCUUGCUAGAGUGGGCGAGACGUAUGCGGAAUGCGUGGUGUAGCGGUGAAAUGCAUAGAUAUCACGCAGAACUCCGAUUGCGAAGGCAGCAUACCGGCGCCCAACUGACGCUCAGGCACGAAAGCGUGGGUAUCGAACAGGAUUAGAUACCCCUGUAGUC
rnacentral:rRNA from 1 species